rnacentral:rRNA from 1 species
AUUGAACGCUGGCGGCAGGCCUAACACAUGCAAGUCGAGCGGAUGAAGGGAGCUUGCUCCUGGAUUCAGCGGCGGACGGGUGAGUAAUGCCUAGGAAUCUGCCUGGUAGUGGGGGAUAACGUCCGGAAACGGGCGCUAAUACCGCAUACGUCCUGAGGGAGAAAGUGGGGGAUCUUCGGACCUCAUGCUAUCAGAUGAGCCUAGGUCGGAUUAGCUAGUUGGGGGGUAAAGGCCUACCAAGGCGACGAUCCGUAACUGGUCUGAGAGGAUGAUCAGUCACACUGGAACUGAGACACGGUCCAGACUCCUACGGGAGGCAGCAGUGGGGAAUAUUGGACAAUGGGCGAAAGCCUGAUCCAGCCAUGCCGCGUGUGUGAAGAAGGUCUUCGGAUUGUAAAGCACUUUAAGUUGGGAGGAAGGGCAGUAAGUUAAUACCUUGCUGUUUUGACGUUACCAACAGAAUAAGCACCGGCUAACUUCGUG